GUCCACGCCGUAAACGAUGGAUACUAGCUGUUGGGUGCAAACUCAGUGGCUAAGCGAAAGUGAUAAGUAUCCCACCUGGGGAGUACGUUCGCAAGAAUGAAACUCAAAGGAAUUGACGGGGGCCCCGCACAAGCGGUGGAGCAUGUGGUUUAAUUCGAUGAUACGCGAGGAACCUUACCAAGGCUUAAAUGUAGAUUGACAGGACUGGAAACAGUUUUUUCUUCGGACAAUUUACAAGGUGCUGCAUGGUUGUCGU
rnacentral:rRNA from 1 species